UGGUGGAGUGAUUUGUCUGCUUAAUUGCGAUAACGAACGAGACCUCGGCCCUUAAAUAGCCCGGUCCGCGUCCGCGGGCCGCUGGCUUCUUAGGGGGACUAUCGGCUCAAGCCGAUGGAAGUGCGCGGCAAUAACA
rnacentral:rRNA from 1 species